GCCCCCGGCUCAACCGGGGAGGGUCAUUGGAAACUGGGGAACUUGAGUGCANAAGAGGAGAGUGGAAUUCCACGUGUANCGGUGAAAUGCGUANNNAUGUGGAGGAACACCAGUGGCGAAGGCGACUCUCUGGUCUGUAACUGACGCUGAGGANCGAAAGCGUGGGGAGCGAACAGGAUUANAUACCCUGGUAGUCCACGCCGUAAACGAUGAGUGCUAAGUGUUAGGGGGUUUCCGCCCCUUAGUGCUGCAGCUAACGCAUUAAGCACUCCGCCUGGGGAGGACGGUCGCNNGACUGAAACUCAAAGGAAUUG
rnacentral:rRNA from 1 species